GUGCUGUCUUAGGCAGCACAUAUGGUAAAAAGGAAACAAUACACAGAAGAUUAGCAUGGCCCCUGCAUAAGGGUGCCUCUCAAAUUUGUGAAUCAUUCCAUAUUUUU
ensembl:snRNA U6 U6 spliceosomal RNA